ACCCGCCACACCCCAAAAUGAACAAAGACUGUUUAAACCGAAAUUUGUAAUGUUUAAUCGCACUCCCAUGGAGGAGAGCGAACCAGAGAGAGGAGGCCUUAUCUAUUGCCUAUGCUAUUGAUUGCUAUUCUAUGUAUGACAGCUAUAGAAAAAUACCAGUGUCUUCGUAAUUUAUGAAAUAAAUCAUUUAAAUGGAUUUACUAUUAUACCUACUAUAACUAACCCUUAUUGAUAAUCACCUGUAUAGACAGCCGUACCGUAUGCCUAGGACAUACCCAUCGUGUAUUUUAUAAUUUUGUUUCGCUUGUGAUAUUAUUUAUUAUUUUGAUUGCCCGAGUUUUAAGCGUAACAUAAAACACACACACUCUCACAUUAUUCAUUCUGUAAAUAGCCCAUAGUUUAGCUCUAACUAAACCACAAGUCAUUUUGUAAGUCUAUCCACACCCAACACUACGAUCCACGAAAUGGACUUCUGUAGAGUGGGGUGGGAGUGGGUACCAUCGAUGGAUAUUUUGAUAAUGGAUAAUCUACUCGUACUAUUUGUUUGAAAUUGAAAUUUAUUUGACUUAUGAUUAAUUGGCUUUGACGAAAUCAUUGGAUUACAAUUGGAUUAAAUUGAAGCCGGAUGUUAAUUAAAUGAUGCAUUAUUCAAAGUAUAUA